rnacentral:rRNA from 1 species
AACGAACGCUGGCGGCAGGCCUAACACGUGCAAGUCGAGCGAGGACUUCGGUCCUAGCGGCGGACGGGUGAGUAACGCGUGGGAACGUGCCCUUUGCUACGGAAUGGCCCCGGGAAACUGGGAGUAAUACCGUAUGUGCCCGAGAGGGGAAAGAUUUAUCGGCAAAGGAUCGGCCCGCGUUGGAUUAGGUAGUUGGUGGGGUAAUGGCCUACCAAGCCGACGAUCCAUAGCUGGUUUGAGAGGAUGAUCAGCCACACUGGGACUGAGACACGGCCCAGACUCCUACGGGAGGCAGCAGUGGGGAAUCUUAGACAAUGGGGGAAACCCUGAUCUAGCCAUGCCGCGUGAGCGAUGAAGGCCUUAGGGUUGUAAAGCUCUUUCAGUGGGGAAGAUAAUGACGGUACCCACAGAAGAAGCCCCGGCUAACUCCGUGCCAGCCGCCGCCGUAAAAC